AAAUAAACGUCUGCUAAAACUGGGAACUGACUAGUCCUACAGAGAGGCAAGUUACUUAGUCAAGUGCAAGGCGAACCACAUUAUGAUCUUAGUUCUGAUAAGUAAUCACGGAAGGACAGUGGAGCUCAGCUGAUAGAGAGGAUGAUGAAUAGGAAAAUAUACCUCACACAGAUAUGGAUAGUUGGGACUGGAGGACAUCUCAGUUGAGGCCGAUGAAACCAUGUGAAGUGUGUCUCUGUUACCUUGGCCUUGAGGACAGUAUAUCAUCAACUGACCUUUCCUGUCACGUAUUAUGCCAUUACCGGUUUAAGAAGUUUAAUCAGUAAAUGAUGGUGAUUUGAUCAAAGUGAAAAACGUUUGAACUUGUUCUACUUUAUCCAGUGAUGCAAUCCUCAUCACCUUGACAAUAAAACAGCCAGGAAGAGACCCAGUGACACCCCAGCAAUACAUUAAUCAGCUUCAUCACUUUGCUUGAGCGCUCAUGUGCAACAUGUAGGUCAUGUGAUCGGAUGUGGUAUGGUACAGUCAAGGACAAUAGACAGCCUAAAAAAUCCUGGCAACAAGAGACUGACAUUAAUUAGUGAUGCAUGCGAAUCCCAGGAGACGGUUGCUAGCCUUACAUCCGUCGUUGCUAGGGAGAUUCCGGAAGAUACUUGUCAGCGCUCAUUAAUCAUCAUGCUUUGUUAACCAGCAAACUCAUCACCACUGCGGAUGUGGCAGAGGGAAAGAGACAGAAAGAGAGAGAGAGAAAAAGAGAGAGGAAGGGUGGGGAUAAAAAUAGUAUUAGAAAAGGUUUUGGACAAUAAAGCAUAUUUUGAGAUGCCCUAGAAUAUAAAAGUGACAAGAAGAGUUUUUAAGAGAUAAGGCUGCUAAUUAUGAAAACUCAGCCACAUCAUUCACAUUUUCCAUGAUUUUGAAGGUAGAGUAAAUCAAUUAUUUUAACUUUUUACUGUCAUUGUAACAGAUGGAUUGUGAAGGAAGUGAUCCAUCUUUAGUGUAAAGUAAUUUUCUUUGUUUCCUGUAGAUAUAAAUUUUCAUCUACAUGUAAAUGAGAAAGCUAUGAGUGUAAUGAUUAGUGUACAAUUAUUUUUUAAUAAUGGACAAAAAAUGAAAACAUUAAUUACAAGUGGUCAUGUUCUGUUGUGUCUUAUGAACCAAUCAACCAUGAGUCUUCUCUCUUUAAUUCAUGAAUUCAUCCCAACCACUUGUUGGAGUUGUUCAUAGUUUUGUAAUGCUUGUCUACUUUCAUUCCUUCUGUAGAGCAGACUGAGCAGUACAAAUUAUAAAUGAUUAGUGGAAUCAAAGCUUUUUGUGUUUCAUUGUGAGGAAUUACAAACCAGUAUGCAUCAUGCUUUACUGCUUUCAAAGAUAGAUUUGAGAAGUUUGGGGUCAAAAUUAGAUGAAAUCAAAUCAAAUACCUGUCACUUGGCAAAGUCUUUCUCUCAGAAACUAGGUUAGUCAUCAGAUAGGAUACAGAAUGAAAUAUAAAAGGAUAUAUUACAGAGCUGUCAAUGAAUGUGUGAUGUAAACUUUAAAUUGAAAACUUUUACAUUUUGCAUAGGAUUUUACUUUCACAUACAUACAAUUUACAAACUGAACAACUUGAUAUUAGGGAAUAUUUUCUUUGUCCAGUUGCAGGUUACAUUUCGUAGCAGAACUGAAUUAAAGAAAUUAUAAGAUAGAAUAAUAAGUACCUGGUAAAUUUGAUGCCGAGUGAGUAAAAAGGGUGUACACUUAAGAAAAUGAUGAUUAAAUAGUAGGUUAUCAUAAUACAUGAUAUGAAAGAGUUUUGUCCCAAAUCAUGUCAAUUUUAUGCAGUAUUUUUUCAUGGUCAGUUGAAAAGGAGGCCUUAAGAAUGGACUUGUACCAAAGUAAUGUCUUUUUAAUGGUGUCAGUCAUUCUUUCAGCACUAAAGAGGCAAUCACCUUUCUCAUGUGUAUUGAGAAGUUUUAUUUGUCAUAAUAUUUUUGUGGAUACUCAUUUGAAGCCAAGUUCCCAUUGUUAUAUCUGUAAGCAUGCAUGAUCUUACCAUUCAUUUGUAGAUAUUUUUGUCAGUUACUAUUGUUCUCUAAAUCAUUUGAGGUUAUGUUUGGCACUAGUAAGGGUAAUGACCUGUUCUGUAGAGCUGAAUCAUUGUGUAGGUCAUAAUAUGAUUCAGUCAGUUACACACUACAAUUUAAAUGUACAACAAUGAAUUAUAUUUCCUGACUUUGAUUUUAAUGAAAUAUGUAAAAUGCAGAUCACCAAAACUUCAGAUUUUAAAAGCUCUUCAAAGCCGCAUUAAAAUAACUCGUGUGGAUAAGUUUAAUAAUGGGACUAAAUUCAACUUCAUAAUCUUCUGUGUGUACAAAGAACAAAUUAGAAAUUUUAAAAAAUGUAUCAGUUCAAUGAUAUACAGAUAAUGAAAUAUUAACAUAGGCCUAUACGUGGAAUGUAUUGAAAUGUAGUAACAAACAUGAAAUGAGCAAAUUAUUAGAAUCAGACAGAGAGAUGGAGAGAAAGGCUUUGUAAACUUUUUUUUUCAUUUGUAGGGUACCUACAUGAAGACUUUUCUGGUACUCUAAGCCAAGGCUUCCCACUAACAUUUAUUUUACUUUCCCUUUAGGCAAGUGAAAAUUUCAACU